AAAGGCGAGGCCGACAGGCGUAGUCGAUGGACAUCCGGUUGAUAUUCCGGAACCGGCGAAGAACCGCCCAUACCGAACCACGUAAUGCUAAGCGCCUGAAGGGCUGGUGAGUCUUCGGACAAUCCGGCCUGGAGCGCGCGACCCGAGCGUGUAGUAGGUAAGCGAUGGAGGGACGCAGGAAGGUAGCCGAACCGCGGCGAUGGUAGACCGCGGGUAAGGAUGUAGGGCGAGGUGUAGGCAAAUCCGCACCUCAUAUGCCUGAGAUCUUAUACGGACGCAUUAGCGGAAGUCGGUAAUCCUAUGCUGCCAAGAAAAUCUUCUAGCGAGGUUCGAGCCGCCCGUACCCCAAACCGACUCAGGUGGUUAGGUAGAGAAUACCAAGGCGAUCGAGUGAAUCGUGGUUAAGGAACUCGGCAAAAUACCCCCGUAACUUCGGGAGAAGGGGGGCCCAGAGGGUGACGGAGACUAGCGCUCCUGAGCCUGAACGGCCGCAGAGACCAGGGAGAAGCGACUGUUUACUAAAAACACAGGUCCGUGCCAAGUCGCAAGACGAUGUAUACGGACUGACGCCUGCCCGGUGCUGGAACGUUAAGGGGACCGGUUAGCCUCACGGCGAAGCUGAGAACUUAAGCGCCAGUAAACAGCGGUGGUAACUAUAACCAUCCUAAGGUAGCGAAAUUCCUUGUCGGGUAAGUUCCGACCUGCACGAAUGGCGUAACGACUUCUCCACUGUCUCAACCACGAACUCGGCGAAAUUGCACUACGAGUAAAGAUGCUCGUUACGCGCAGAAGGACGGAAAGACCCCGGGACCUUUACUACAGCUUGGUAUUGGUGUUCGGAACGGCUUGUGUAGGAUAGGUGGGAGGCUUUGAAGCUGAUACGCCAGUAUCGGUGGAGCCAACGUUGAAAUACCACUCUGGUCGUUCUGGAUGUCUAACCUAGGUCCGUAAUCCGGAUCAGGGACAGUGCCUGGUGGGUAGUUUAACUGGGGCGGUUGCCUCCUAAAAGGUAACGGAGGCGCCCAAAGGUUCCCUCAGCCUGGUUGGCAAUCAGGUUUUGAGUGUAAGUGCACAAGGGAGCUUGACUGUGAGACUGACAGGUCGAACAGGGACGAAAGUCGGGACUAGUGAUCCGGCGGUGGCUUGUGGAAGCGCCGUCGCUCAACGGAUAAAAGGUACCCCGGGGAUAACAGGCUGAUCUUGCUCAAGAGUCCAUAUCGACGGCAUGGUUUGGCACCUCGAUGUCGGCUCGUCGCAUCCUGGGGCUGGAGUAGGUCCCAAGGGUUGGGCUGUUCGCCCAUUAAAGCGGUACGCGAGCUGGGUUUAGAACGUCGUGAGACAGUUCGGUCCCUAUCCUCUGCGCGCGCAGGAAACUUGAGAAGAGCUGUCCCUAGUACGAGAGGACCGGGAUGGACGAACCUCUGGUGUGUCAGUUGUUCUGCCAAGAGCACCGCUGAUUAGCUACGUUCGGAAGUGAUAACCGCUGAAAGCAUCUAAGCGGGAAGCAUGCUUCAAGAUGAGGUUUCCAUGGGGUUUACCCCGAGAGGCUCCCAGCUAGACUACUGGGUUGAUAGGCCGGAUGUGGAAGUGCGGUAACGCACGGAGCUGACCGGUACUAAUAAGCCGAUAACUUGAC
rnacentral:rRNA from 1 species